rnacentral:hammerhead_ribozyme from 1 species
AUCCACAUGACUAGUCCCAAAUAGGACGAAACGCGCAUCCUGGAU